rnacentral:lncRNA from 1 species
CUGUGAUACAUUUCUUGAGCUAACAUGUCCUACAAAGAAAAACUGUUUCUGCUAGACCAUAAGAGACAGACUACAUACAGUGACUUUAAGUUUUGUCUCUCCAACUAAACUAUAGCAUACUGUGAUCAGAAACUCAAUGUAAUACUUUGUACACAUUGUAAACAAUGUUUUGUGCAUUGCUCUACACAUUCAUCAAUCAUCUUAGAAAACAGUGAAGGAGAAGAAGUCACCAGCCUAAGAUGGAAUAGGUUAAGUGAAAUUUAGCAUGCAGGGUUUUCCUUUGAUAAUGCCAGGUGUUCCUGUAGAUGGGCAAGUGUAGUUCAGAUAUUGGGACUUCCUCAAUUAGAUCAUAUCUCCUCCUGUUCAAACCCUUUCAGAACUAAAAGGUUUUCUCUCUACUGGUUAGGGUAUAAAACCAUAGAGAAUAGGAUGAACUGAGGAUGACUCUUCCAUGUAAUCAUCUGCACAACUCUUCUAGCUGCUUUUUUGUAAGCUGUGAUGAUUGGUUAGCUCAGUGGUCUGGGUUGAUGCUAAUGAGAUCAUCAAAAAUGUUCUGUCCACAACGGAGCUUGUUUGUAGGCCUUAUUCCAAAUACAUCCGCGAUAGCCUCUCCAUAAAUAUUUGGCCAAAGAGACCUGGAAGAGAGCCAUCUUUAAUGUAUGCUCAAAGACAGUUGUUUUUAAAAAAUGCUAUGCCAAUCAAUAUAUUUUCCCAUAGGAGCCAUGUCAUACUGUGAGCUUAUGUGCUUGUGUCAGACUGAAAUAAACAUGACAUAGGACAUAACUUCAGGGAACUUUUUAUCUCCGCCCCAUCUUUUUUAUUUUUUAAUUAACAAAUUCCCCCAUGGUAAACAUAGGCACUAGAAAUUAAGCUUUCCCAUCAGAAAAAUUUCUGCUU